rnacentral:rRNA from 1 species
UGGGGAAUUGUUCGCAAUGGGCGCAAGCCUGACGACGCAACGCCGCGUGGAGGAUGAAGGUCUUCGGAUUGUAAACUCCUGUUGCUCGGGACGAAAAGCUUCGACCUAACACGUCGAAGUCUGACGGUACCGAGUGAGGAAGCCCCGGCUAACUCUGUGCCAGCAGCCGCGGUAAUACAGAGGGGGCAAGCGUUGUUCGGAAUUACUGGGCGUAAAGGGCGCGUAGGCGGCCUGCUAAGUCGAACGUGAAAUCCCUGGGCUCAACCCAGGAACUGCGUCCGAUACUGGUUGGCUUGAAUCCGGGAGAGGGAUGUGGAAUUCCAGGUGUAGCGGUGAAAUGCGUAGAUAUCUGGGGGAACACCGGUGGCGAAGGCGACAUCCUGGACCGGUAUUGACGCUGAGGCGCGAAAGCCAGGGGAGCAAACGGG